rnacentral:misc_RNA from 1 species
GGCAUUCAAUUCUGAACACUCUUGAUUUCGUUGGUAAUCUUAGCCCUAAAUUGUUUUGUUAUGCUAAAAUGGUAGGGACAAACUCUUGGAUUAUAGACAUUGGACCUUCUGACCACAUGACCUUCAAUUCACACCUCUUACACAAUAUCACUAUCACACACACACCUGUCACCAUUUGUUUACCUAAUGGCCAUGUCACCAAAAUAAAUCAAAAAGACAUAGCCUACUUACAUGACCUUUUUUCUUUGAUAGAAAUUUUACUAGUCCCCACCUUUACUCUAAAUUUG